CUGUUAAAACCCAGUUCAGGAUCAGUCCUCAUAAUAUCUGUCCUGUUAAAACCCAGUUCAGGACCAGUCCUCAUAAUGUCUGUCCUGUUAAAACCCAGUUCAGUUUUACUCUACUGAGUAAAAACAUUGAGCAGGGACAUAAAAGCGUUCCCGGAAAGGAAAGUCCCUGAAUAAAUCAAUUCUCUCUCUUUCCAGAAACCAGGCCGCUUUGCCUUCUGAGAAAGUCCCCUAUCAAAGAGCAGUUACAGUCAGACAUCACCUCAUCAUUUAACAGCAGCCCAGGUUAUCAGCUCCAUCUAGAGGCCCAGGUUAUCAGCUCCAUCUAGUGGCCCAGGUUAUCAGCUCCAUCUAGAGGCCCAGGUUAUCAGCUCCAUCUAGUGGCCCAGGUUAUCAGCUCCAUCUAGUGGCCCAGGUUAUCAGCUCCAUCUAGUGGCCCAGGUUAUCAGCUCCAUCUAGUGGUCCAGGUUAUCAGCUCCAUCUAGAGACCCAGAUUAUCAGCUCCAUCUAGUGGCCCAGGUUAUCAGCUCCAUCUAGAGGCCCAGGUUAUCAGCUCCAUCUAGAGACCCAGGUUAUCAGCUCCAUCUAGAGGCCCAGGUUAUCAGCUCCAUCUAGUGGCCCAGGUUAUCAGCUCCAUCUAGUGGUCCAGGUUAUCAGCUCCAUCUAGAGACCCAGGUUAUCAGCUCCAUCUAGUGGCCCAGGUUAUCAGCUCCAUCUAUUGGUCCAGGUUGUCAGCUCCAUCUAUUGGUCCAGGUUAUCAGCUCCAUCUAGAGACCCAGGUUAUCAGCUCCAUCUAGUGGUCCAGGUUAUCAGCUCCAUCUAGAGACCCAGGUUAUCAGCUCCAUCUAGUGGCCCAGGUUAUCAGCUCCAUCUAGAGACCCAGGUUAUCAGCUCCAUCUAGAGGCCCAGGUUAUCAGCUCCAUCUAGAGACCCAGGUUAUCAGCUCCAUCUAGAGACCCAGGUUAUCAGCUCCAUCUAGAGACCCAGGUUAUCAGCUCCAUCUAGUGGUCCAGGUUAUCAGCUCCAUCUAGAGGCCCAGGUUAUCAGCUCCAUCUAGUGGCUGCUUUGACUGAAGCCAGCCACACACUGCACGACCGCAGGUUCAGCUUUGUUCUUUGGUGGUAGAAAUCUGGGCUAAGCCUUUUGUGGAUCACUGCUUUGAUGUCUUCCCUUUCCC
rnacentral:lncRNA from 1 species